GGUGAAAUUCGUAGAUAUUAGGAGGAACACCAGUGGCGAAGGCGACUCUCUGGGCCAAUACUGACGCUGAGGUUCGAAAGCAUGGGUAGCGAACAGGAUUAGAUACCCUGGUAGUCCAUGCAGUAAACGAUGAGUGCUAGAUGUUGGGAAUUUAAAUUUCCAGUAUCGCAGUUAACGCGUUAAGCACUCCGCCUGGGAAGUACGGCCGCAAGGCUAAAACUCAAAUGAAUUGACGGGGACCCGCACAAGCGGUGGAUCAUGUGGUUUAAUUCGAAGAUACGCGAAGAACCUUACCGGCCCUUGACAUACCAAUCGCGGACUUAAGAGAUUAAGUCUUUCACUUCGGGUGGAUUGGAUACAGGUGCUGCAUGGCUGUCGUCAGCUCGUGUCGUGAGAUGUUGGGUUAAGUCCCGCAACGAGCGCAACCCUCACUUUUAGUUGCCAUCAUUUAGUUGGGCACUCUGAAAGAACUGCCGGUGAUAAGCCGGAGGAAGGUGGGGAUGACGUCAAGUCCUCAUGGCCCUUACGGGCCGGGCUACACACGUGAUACAAUGGUAACUACAAAGGGCAGCGAAAGAGCAAUCUGGAGCAAAUCUCCAAAAGUUACCUCAGUUCGGAUUGUACUCUGCAACUCGAGUGCAUGAAGUUGGAAUCGCUAGUAAUCGUAGAUCAGCGCGCUACGGUGAAUACGUUCCCG
rnacentral:rRNA from 1 species